UACAGAGAGUGCAAACGUUGUUCGGAAUUACUGGGCUUAAAGCGCACGUAGGCGGUGUCGUAAGUGUCUGGUGAAAUCCCACGGCUCAACCGUGGAACUGCUCGGUAUACUGCUUAUCUUGAGCCACUUAGGGGCUACCGGAACAAAUGGUGGAGCGGUGAAAUGCGUAGAUAUCAUUUGGAACGCCAAUGGUGAAAACAGGUAGCUGGGAGUGUGCUGACGCUGAGACACGAAAGCCAGGGGAGCGAACGGG
rnacentral:rRNA from 1 species